rnacentral:lncRNA from 1 species
UCAGAGCUGCAAGCAAAGAAUGGAAAUUUCCAAUUGCAGCAUCAAGAGCUGCUGUUCUGCUGACUGUCUUGCUCAGCUGGGGUCAUCUGCUUCUCUAAGACAUCAAGGAAUGCCAAGGACACUGUGCCAUGACCCGUUUGCCUGAAACAUUGCAAGAAAAUACUGGAGUUGGGAAAGGAGGCUCUUCCACCAACAGAGCUAAUUCUUUGUCCUUCUGUCCCUACCAUCCAUGGAACAAGUGUACUGCUAUGGCAUGAAGUGGAAGGUAUAAUUUGGAGCCAGACAAGAGAAAGAAAAAAAAAAAAGCUCCUUUCAAAGCAAUAUAUUCAUGUAAGUGUAAAAAUAUCAAAAAAGAAUUAAUAGUUUCACCAAGUAAUCUAAAGUUAAAUUUUAUAUGCAAAGCCCUCACUGAACCA